GGGUGACUAGUCUAGUGGUCAGGACGCUUCGUUGUGGUGGAUAUCCGACACAAACGAUCCGAAGAAACCCCGGUUCGAUUCCGGGGUCGCCCA